rnacentral:RNase_P_RNA from 1 species
CGGGCCGGCCGGACGGCCGCUGCCUGGGGAAGCGUGCAGCGCUUCGGCGUCCGCACGGUGAACCGGGGAGAGGAAAGUCCGGGCUCCACAGGACGCGGUGGUGGGUAACGCCCACCGUCCGAUUCGACGGCUGGACCUUACCCGUCCCGGCCGCCGGAGAAGGAUAGGGAAAGUGCAACAGAAAGCAAACCGCUUCGUCCUCAUCGUUUAGCCGUGAACCCAAGGCGAGCGCGCGCAGCGCCGCUUGCGGCUUCGCACGCCGCGCUCGCCCUGGGCUCGCGGCUAAACGUGGGGGUGAAGUAAGGGUGAAAAGGCGGGGGGGCCUCGGCCCCUUAAUGUAAGAGCCCACCAGCAGCCUGGUGACAGGCUGGCUCGGCAAACCCCACCGGGAGCAAGGCCAAAUAUGGGAGCAGGACUGGUCCGGUCCGCUACGACUCCCGGGUAGGUCGCUCGACUGGCCGAGCAAUCGGCCGGCUAGAUAAAUGGCCGUCACGGCCGCGCGCGAACGCCGUCGUCCUCACGGGCGAGGGUGGCCGCGCGAGGCCGCUACAAAACCCGGCUUACAGGCCGGCCCGCAGG